rnacentral:lncRNA from 1 species
CUUGCGCCUGCGCCUGCGUGGCCUCAUGGGGCUGUGGAGGCCCCAGAGAUGAGAGGCGCUUUCCUGAGUUUGGAGGUCCCUGUGGCUGCAGAAGGGUCACCCAUCGCCUCACCACAAGGUUGCAAUUUUCUGCUUUUUAAAAACCUUUACCUAUGAAAGCCAGCCUCAACAUUGG